CUGUGAGGUCAUUGAAGGUCAAAAUGGACCAGAAUCAGCAACUUCACACUUGAACCCAAUACAUUUCAAGGGAAUGUAACAACAGAGAGAGCAUGGCCUAAGGAGAAAAUCAAGGUUGAGUCUUCUUGGGAUACUGUGAGUGAUCUAUUUGUGUCUUACUAAGAAAUGACACUAUGAAGUCUCAAUGCCACGAGCCCUGGGCAGUCACAGGAAAGUCACAGGAUUUGGGGAGGCAUCACACACAGAAUCAGAGCUGGGAAAAAGUUGAGAAAGUGUUUAGGAAGACCAUCUCCAAGGCACCUUUUAUCUUAAAAGCUUGUGAUGUCUUCAAAAAUUAAGUCAAGUGUCUCCAAGCAAGGCAUGAGUCCUAAUGACAUCCUGGUCAAGGCAUGAGUACUGGUCAAGGCAUGAGUACUAAUGACAUCCUGGUCAAGGCAUGAAUACUAAUGACAUCCUGGUCAAGGCAUGAGUCCUAAUGACAUCCUGGUCAAGGCAUGAGUACUAAUGUCAUCCUGGUCAAGGCAUGAGUCCUAAUGACAUCCUGGUCAAGGCAUGAGUACUGGUCAAGGCAUGAGUCCUAAUGACAUCCUGGUCAAGGCAUGAAUACUAAUGACAUCCUGGUCAAG